AAACCGUUCAGGGGUAAACCUGAGAAACCCGAAAGAUCGAAUGGGGAGAUUCAUCGUCAGCGAUUCGAGUACGUGUGCGGUUCGCGAUGUCCGAGACUUCGGUCUCGCGGCACGCGUCCGCAUGUUUUUUAUUGCUUGAAUCGUCGGCGUGCACUUCUCCCCUAGUAGGACGUCGCGACCCGUUGGGUGUCGGUCUACGGCACGGUAGGUAGCCUGUCACGUGUGCGCUUCACGGCGUUACGCGGGGCAGACCUCCGUUCGCCCGACCGGCUGCUCGGCGGUACUCGCAAGGUAUCUGGCCGCAGACAUACGAACUGCGUCCGGCCCGUCGCAAGCGAGGCAAGUGUCUCCCGGCUGUCACGGAUCUAAUGCCGUCACCGGGCCUUGCCAGCUGUUGGCUGACGGUGUCCUAGGACUGGCUAACAAAAUUAUGAUACCGGUCGGCGACGCUACUGCUUUGGGUACUUUCAGGA
rnacentral:rRNA from 1 species